CACGUAGGGCGCAAGCGUUGUCCGGAAUUAUUGGGCGUAAAGAGCUCGUAGGCGGUCUGUUGCGUCCGCUGUGAAAACUCGGGGCUUAACCCCGAGCCUGCAGUGGAUACGGGCAGACUAGAGGUAGGUAGGGGAGAAUGGAAUUCCCGGUGUAGCGGUGAAAUGCGUAGAUAUCUGCAGGAACACCCGUGGCGAAAGCGGCGCGCUGGACCACUACUGACGCUGAGGAACGAGAGCUAGGGGAGCAAACAGG
rnacentral:rRNA from 1 species